UUCACCCGAAGGCGGUUCGCUAACCCGUAAGGGAGGCAGCCGACCACGGUGAGGUCAGCGACUGGGGUGAAGUCGUAACAAGGUAGCCGUAGGUGAACCUGCAGAAGGAUCA
rnacentral:rRNA from 1 species